GUGCAAGGUACUGGACUGUUGCAUUCUCUUUUUACCCAUAGAACAGGUACAGCAUGACAACAAUAGUGUAAGUUUCCUCCAUGCUCUUCCCUGCCAAUGGGUCUUACCAAUGCUCAGGAUGGACCUUAAAGGAGCUGGAGGGAUUCAUUCUCCAUAAGCUAAUCAAUCAAUGACCUGU
rnacentral:sRNA from 1 species